rnacentral:rRNA from 1 species
GAGCGGCAGACGGGUGAGUAAUACGUUGGAACCUGCCCCAAAGUCAGGGAUAACCAGUAGAAAUAUUGGCUAAUACCGGAUAGUCACGAAAGUGUAAAGCUUUUGCGCUUUGGGAGGGGCCUGCGGUCUAUCAGCUUGUUGGUAAGGUAAUGGCUUACCAAGGCUAUGACGGAUAGCUGGUUUGAGAGAAUGAUCAGCCACAAUGGAACUGAGACACGGUCCAUACUCCUACGGGAGGCAGCAGUGAGGAAUCUUCCGCAAUGGGCGAAAGCCUGACGGAGCAACACCGCGUGAAGGAUGAAGGUCGUAAGAUUGUAAACUUCUUUUCUGAGGGAAGAAUUCUGACGGUACCUCAGGAAUAAGCAUCGGCUAACUACGUGCCAGCAGCCGCGGUAAGACGUAGGAUGCAAGCGCUAUCCGGAAUUAUUGGGCAUAAAGAGUUCGUAGGCGGUUUGUUAAGUUGGAUGUUAAAUUUUUGAGCUCAACUUAAAAAAAGUAUCCAAAACUGGCAAACUGGAGACUGGUAGAGGUAAGUGGAAUUCUGCAUGUAGGGGUAAUAUCCGUAGAUAUGCAGAGGAACACCAAAAGCGAAGGCAGCUUACUGGACCAGUUCUGACGCUCAAGGACGAAAGCGUGGGUAGCGAACGGGAUUAGAUACCCCGGUAGUCCACGCCCUAAACGAUGAACACUAGGUAUUGGAGGUCUCGACCCCUUCAGUGCCGACGC